rnacentral:rRNA from 2 species
GUAAGAGCAUUUGGUGGAUGCCUUGGCAUGUGCAGGCGAUGAAGGACGUGGCACGCUGCGAUAAGCGUCGGGGAGAUGUGAGCAAUCUUUGAUCCGGCGAUUUCCGAAUGGGGAAACCCACCCUCACCAUUUCCUUUCGAUUGUUUUCGGACAGUCGGAAAGAGGUGGAUAGGGUAUCACCAGACUGAAUACAUAGGUUUGGUGAAGCGAACCCGGGGAACUGAAACAUCUCAGUACCCGGAGGAAAAGACAUCAACAGAGAUUCCCGUAGUAGUGGCGAGCGAACCGGGACCAGGCCAGUGCCUUCAUUUCAACUAGCAAAACACUUUGGAAAGAGUGGCCAUAGCGGGUGACAGCCCCGUAUGCGAAAGUGAUGAUGAAGGACUCGAGUAGGGCGGGACACGUGAAAUCCUGUCUGAACAUGGGGGGACCACCCUCCAAGCCUAAAUACUCGCACAUGACCGAUAGCGAACACAGUACCGUGAGGGAAAGGUGAAAAGCACCCCGAUUAGGGGAGUGAAACAGUACCUGAAACCGGAUGCUUACAAGCAGUUGGAGCCCCAUAGGGGGUGACAGCGUACCUCUUGCAUAAUGGGUCAGUGACUUAAUCUACCAUGCAAGCUUAAGCCGUUAGGUGUAGGCGCAGCGAAAGCGAGUCUGAAUAGGGCGACUGAGUAUGAUGGAUUAGACCCGAACCCCGGCGAUCUAGGCAUGGCCAGGUUGAAGGUGCAGUAACAUGCACUGGAGGACCGAACCGGUGAAUGUUGAAAAAUUCUCGGAUGAGCUGUGUUUAGGGGUGAAAGGCCAAUCAAGCCGGGAAAUAGCUGGUUCUCCGCGAAAUCUAUUGAGGUAGAGCGUCGGAUGUAUGCCGAUGGGGGUAGAGCACUGGAUGGGCUAGGGCUGCGCGAGCGGUACCAAACCUAACCAAACUCCGAAUACCAUCGAGUCUUAUCCGGCAGACAGACGGCGGGUGCUAAGGUCCGUCGUCAAAAGGGAAACAGCCCUAACCUACAGCUAAGGUCCCCAAGUCAUAUCUAAGUGGGAAAGCAUGUGGGAAUCCCAAAACAACCAGGAGGUUGGCUUAGAAGCAGCCAUCCUUUAAAGAAAGCGUAACAGCUCACUGGUCUAAACAAGGGUUCCUGCGGCGAAGAUGUAACGGGGCUAAAGAUAUGCACCGAAGCUUAGGGUUCAGAAUUUAUUCUGAGCGGUAGCGGAGCGUUCCGUAAGCGAGUGAAGGCGAAGGGUAACCGACGCUGGACGUAUCGGAAGUGCGAAUGCUGACAUGAGUAGCGACAAACAGGGUGAGAUGCCCUGUCGCCGAAAGACCAAGGGUUCCUGCGCAACGCUAAUCGGCGCAGGGUUAGCCGGCCCCUAAGACGAGCCCGAAGGGGGUAGUCGAUGGGAACCACGUAAAUAUUCGUGGGCCUGAAGAUGUGUGACGGAUCGUGGAAGUUGUUUUCUCUUAUUGGAUUGAGAGGGCAGCCAAGCGGUUCCAGGAAAUAGCCUCUUCACUAUAGACCGUACCCGAAACCGACACAGGUGGUCAGGUAGAGUAUACCAAGGCGCUUGAGAGAAGUAUCCUGAAGGAACUCGGCAAAUUGCCUCCGUACCUUCGGAAGAAGGAGGCCCCAUAUCGACGCAAGUCUUUGUGGGGGGCACAGGCCAGGGGGUAGCGACUGUUUAGCAAAAACACAGCACUCUGCUAAGUCGGCUUCAAGACGACGUAUAGGGUGUGACGCCUGCCCGGUGCUCGAAGGUUAAGAGGAGGAGUGCAAGCUCCGAAUUGAAGCCCGAGUAAACGGCGGCCGUAACUAUAACGGUCCUAAGGUAGCGAAAUUCCUUGUCGGGUAAGUUCCGACCUGCACGAAUGGCGUAACGACUUCCCCACUGUCUCCAGGAUAUGCUCAGCGAAAUUGAAUUCUCCGUGAAGAUGCGGAGUACCCGCGGUUAGACGGAAAGACCCCGUGCACCUUUACUGCAGCUUCAGAGUGGCAUUAGGAAAUUACUGUGUAGAAUAGGUGGGAGGCUUUGAAACAUCGGCGCCAGCUGGUGUGGAGCCAACCUGUGAAAUACCACCCUGUGAUUUUCUGAUGUCUAACCACGCACCGUUAUCCGGUGUUGGGACCCUCUGUGGCGGGUAGUUUGACUGGGGCGGUCGCCUCCUAAAGAGUAACGGAGGCGCGCGAUGGUAUGCUCAGGACGGUUGGAAACCGUCUGCAAGAGUGCAAUGGCAUAAGCAUGCCUGACUGCGAGACCGACAGGUCGAGCAGAGACGAAAGUCGGUCAUAGUGAUCCGGUGGUCCCUCGUGGAAGGGCCAUCGCUCAACGGAUAAAAGGUACGCCGGGGAUAACAGGCUGAUGAUUCCCAAGAGCUCAUAUCGACGGAAUCGUUUGGCACCUCGAUGUCGGCUCAUCACAUCCUGGGGCUGGAGCAGGUCCCAAGGGUUUGGCUGUUCGCCAAUUAAAGUGGUACGUGAGCUGGGUUCAGAACGUCGCGAGACAGUUUGGUCCCUAUCUGCCGUGGGCGUCGAUUGUUGAAAGGAGUUGCCCCUAGUACGAGAGGACCGGGGUGAACAUACCUCUGGUGUACCUGUCAUCCUGCCAAGGGUGCCGCAGGGUAGCUAUGUAUGGACGGGAUAACCGCUGAAAGCAUCUAAGCGGGAAGCCUCCCUUGAGAUAAGCAAUCUUCGAACCGUCAUAGACCAUGACGUUGAUAGGCCGGGUGUGGAAGCGCAGUAAUGCGUGUAGCUAACCGGUCCUAAUAGUUCUUUUCGCGCUU